AAAAUUUAUUCAAUCAGUUUUAUAAUAUUAUAGGAGUUAUAUAAAUAUCUCAGUGAAGUUUUGAAGAUAUUUUGUAACGAGUUUUUGUGUAAAUCAGUUAAAAAGCGAGUAUGAGUCUGAGCCUAGUUAAAUGUGCCAAGUUUAUUAUCCACAGACUAUAGUAGGAUAAUUUUAUGUUCUUCUCUUAAAAAACAAUCUGUUGAAUCUCUCCUUCCUCUCAAAAUCUCUCUCGAACCCCCCUCGCUCCUAAUCUUUCGGUCUCUCUCUCCCGCGAAUAUCCCCCCCCCCCCCCCGUGUUUUUUUUUCUGUCACAAUCUCUUUGCCGUUGUCGGUGCUGCCAACGUAUUCAAGUCGCCGCCGCUGUUUUCUUCGGUUUUUCCGGCCGUCAAGUCCUGACGGGACUGUAGCUCUGUUUACGGCAAUUAAGGAAUUGUCUCCACCUCCUGCUUGCAUGUAAUUCGGUAUAAGUUCGUUUUCCUCCGUAAAUCGAUUACGUGAUAUAUGUAUAUGUAUAUAUGCGUGUUUACAUGUCGGGCAAUUGAAAUAUAUUGGUGUGAACUAUGUUUAUAUGUGUAUGUAUUUGAUAUGUGUGUAUAAUCUGAUUUAUGUGGCUUGUGUGUAAUACUAUUAUGAGUGAUUGAAGAUGAGCCUGAUUUUUGAAAUUAGGAUUAUUGGUUGUUAAAUUUCUGUUUAUAAGUAUGUGGUGAUAACAAAAUCGGUGGUGUUAAUCUCAUCGUUGAGGUUUUGUUAUUUACCUUGGGUUAUUGAUUAUUGUUAGUCACAUCGGUUAGUAGCUUUUGUUUAUAAACAUGAGGAUGACAGUUUGGUGAUUUUUGUUUGUAUAAAUUAAGUUAUGUGUAUACGUGUUUGGAAGGGUAUUUUAAAAGUUAAAGUAAUGGAUUAAAGAUUUAGAAUUAUAUAUACUUGAAUUGAAAGUUUUGGUUGUUGUUGGUCUGUUUUUGCAGCAUAUUCUGGGCUGAUCGAUUUAAUUUAUGUGCUUAAUUUUUGUGUGGUUAUGUGGUCCGUGGAGGCUACUUUCUACUCACGAAAGAAUUAGAUUAAUUUAAUAAACGAGCUAAAAGAUAUGUAUGUUUUAGUGCGUAGUGCAGAAAAUUCUAGGCAGGUGUGUCCUAUUCCAGACCCUGUUUUGCUACCUUUGACUUGGUAUUUACUUAUGAAAUUUUUACUAGAGUUUGAUAUUGGGGUCUGGAAGGUGCUGUUAAAAGUUUAUACCAACAGACCAAUUUUUCAAUUUAUUUAAAAUCUUAGGAUGGGGCUGGUUCUGCAGGACAGAUUUAAGUUCCUGACUUGCAUGCCCUGUUUUACUUCCUUAAACACGGAAUUUGCUUCAUUUGCUUCAAUAAAUUUUAUAGUAGAUUGGGGUAAUGUUUAGGAGUGUGUCAUAAAAAUUACAUAUAGAAACAAUAAAUUUCAAUUUAUUUAAAAAUCACAGAGUAAGGACUGAUUGAACCAUUGUCUAGUUUUCUUUCUUUAUUAGUGCAUAUUAUGAGUUUGUAUUUGGUUGAUUGCACAUAAUUGAUAAAUGGAUUCUUGUAGUGAUGGUAGCUUGUUAUUUGUUUAGCUUAAUUUCAUGUUCGAAUAUAGAGGGUUUCAUGAGUUUUUACUUGAUACAUGCUGGAAGCUAUAUAAAAGUAAAAUUGGAAGAUGUAUUACAAGAAAAAGGGCUUUUAGCGACCGACUAUCAGCGACCGCGGCUCGUCGCUAUUAGGCUUUAGCGACGGAAUCCGGUAGCUACAAACUGUGGCAUAUAAUCUCGUCGCUACUAGUUGAUACGCAACUAGUAGUUUGUCGCUAACUUUAGCGACCGAUCGGCAACCAGUUUUCGUGGCUAAUACAGCUACAGGAAUUUGCGACCACUCUCUGUCGCUAACUUUGUGUCAUUUUUCUACCAGCAUUGGCUACAGCUUGCGGUCGCUAAAGUCAAUUUUUUUUUUACAUUUUUUUUUGUUUUCUGCAGAUUUACAUAUAAUUUCAGUUUGUACCUGCUUUUCCCACAAACAAUAACAACUUUGUCCCAACAAAUAUCACAAUGACCUGUAUUUAAAAUGAUUGCAUUGAAUAACCGAACAAUAGAAGGAUGCCUAAUUAAUAUCAAAGGUUACAUCAUCCUAAAAAUUUCAGCAACACAACCAUAUGUUCCGAUUAUCAUCCAAGCAGUACAAUACAAACACCUAAAUACUCUAAGAUCCUCCAACAUCAGCAUCCUAAUCAGCAUGAUCACCCUGUAAAUGUCAUUUGAAGAAGUGAAUCUAGGUGGCAUAUAAACAACAAAAUAUGAAAAACAGAUUCAGCAGUUAAUAACGCAAUUAAAGUUAACUAUUAAAUAGAUAAUAUACCUUACGACCAUCACUUUGUUAUACACUAUGAUCCUCCAAUAUCAGCAUCCAGGUCAUCAUGAUCACCCUGUCAUUAUCAAAUCAAUUAAAGAAUUAUAUACCCGCCGAUCAUCACUUUUGAAAGGCAUAUGUUAAGCCUAUUUGUAUUUAAUAGGUAUCAACUCAACUCUGAUAAGAAAGCAAGCAAAUAACAAGUACUGUUAAUUGGAAUCCGUACGAAGAACGUCAAAUGAUUUAUUGAAGAAUUUCAGGAUGCUGCUGCAAACCACUGGAAGAAGUUUAUUAAUAUGAUCAAGCCUCAGUGUACAAAUAAUCUUUUGUAGCACGUCCAGAAGAUCAAAAGGUAUGAAGUUUAAAUACUUUAUUUAUUCAGAAGAUUCCAUAUUGUGUCUACAAAUGAAGAAGAACUCAGAAGACGUAGAAUCGACGAACAAGCCACAACUUAAUUGUUUAAAUGACAAGGAAUAUUUGAUUCAGCUAUUUACAGAUGAACCAGACAGCACAUUUGUGUAUCAGCUUAUCAGAUUAAAUAUUCUACGUCAAAAGAAGGUGGUCAUUCAAUCAAGUCGAAUAUCGUAAUUGUUUAAAGAAGACUGAAGACUCUGCUGCUAGAAGAAAAGGGGUAAUUGAUUAUCUAAUUAUUUAUUUCACUUCUCAAAAUAAUUAUAUAGGAUGUGUAAUUUAUUUAUUAAAUUAAUUCUAUCUCGAAUUAAUUUAAUUUAUGAAUUUAUGCAUUUAAUAUAAUUAAGUAAAUAUUAAUUGGUUAAUUAAUUAAAGGGAAAAAGGGAUUGUCUUGUUGAAACAACAAGGUAGGACAGCGUGCCUUUUUCCCCCCUUCCUUCACACGGGAAGACAAUCUUGAUGAUUGUCUUACUGUCCCUUCUAAUUGUCUUGCCAUUUGUUCCUCAUUCACGAAGAAGAAAUCUUAUACGAAUUGAAUUACAAAGAAUGAGUUGUCAUCUAUGUUCAUAUACCUGCUCCACAAUCAAACAUCAUGGACAUCUUCUUCCCCAUUCUCACCCGCUGCUGUGACAUGACUUGCAUCAACACUCAUCUACAACAACUAGAUGGUUACAAAAUGAGUCUAAAACUUUACCAUGAAAAUCGUAACAAAAAGUUUAUGAGUUCUCAGAAGAAGAUAUCUUACAGGAAUUUAAUUACAAAGAUAGAUUUGUUAUGGAAAAUCAAUUAGGGGUUGUUGAAGACAGAUGACUACCCUCAAUUGCACACGAUUUAGGUUUGUAUACUUUACACAAUACUGUCCUUAUGAUUUUAGCCGUCCAUUACACAUUCUAGAUCCUUCUAGGAUUUUAAGGGUGAGGAUGAUAUAAUUCUAAUAAUUUAAAAUAAAUAGCACUUUAAAAUUAUUAUUAUCCUGGGAUUUAAGCUACUGUACUCAUGAUUUUAGCCAUCCAUUACUCAUUCUAGAUCCUUCUAGGAUUUUAACGGUUGGGAUGAUAUAAUUCUAAUAAUUUAAAAUAAAUAACAGUUUAAAAUUCAUGUCAUUGUAAUUUUAAUAUAGAUAAAAUUAUAAUUAUUCGAGAGUUAAUAAAAUUAAUAUAAAUAGUGCAUUAUAAUGUUGCUAGCAUUAGAAAUUCACGUCAAUAUUACAUAUUUAAUAAAAAUUUAUUUUAAAUUAAAUGAUAUAUAAUGUGUUUAGGUAGUAAAAUUAAAUUAACCAGCAAUAAGUAAUGUUACUUUUAAAUUAAGUUCGUGGAGACCACAUGAUUUUGGAGUAUUGAAUUCUUCCGUCUCCCCAUUAAUUUUGUUUUAAUCUAACUACGGUUAUUUUUUUAACACAACUGUUCUGAUUGAAUAAUCACUGUACUUAUUUUCUAUCGAUGGUGAUUAUUAUUUUCUACACAAUUCAAUUAACAUGCUUAUCUAUAAAUUAUUUCUGUGUCUUGCAAGUAGUUGUCUUCACUAUAUGUUCGAGUUGUUUCGACUAUAUCUGAAAGGGGUUAUAUCCUGUUUGUUCUGCUUGUUCUCCAAUGGUGGAAAUCAUCUUUGUUGGUUAUUCAAGAACUUAUAUUUGUUGUCUUGCUGGUAGUACUACAACUGUCCUUUCCUUUUUGUUUUGAUUUGAUUUAGGAGGAGAAACUGUGAGGGAUUAAUAUUGAAUUGUAACGGUUUUCGGAGGGGAGGAAGAAGCACCGGGUAAUUGUAAUUGAGUUGCAAUGCAAUAUAUUCUCUUGGAAACUGUAUACAAUGGUGAUGGAAUGAGUCUUCAAAGACUCCAAAAUUUCUGACUCCAAGGAGCCCAACUAUAUAAAAGUGUGUGUCUGUCAGUCA